rnacentral:rRNA from 1 species
GACGAACGCUGGCGGCGUGCCUAAUACAUGCCAGUCGAACGCACAGUUUAUACCGUAGCUUGCUACACCAUAGACUGUGAGUUGCGAACGGGUGAGUAACGCGUAGGUAACCUGCCUGGUAGCGGGGGAUAACUAUUGGAAACGAUAGCUAAUACCGCAUAAUAUUAAUUAUUGCAUGAUAAUUAAUUGAAAGGUGCAAUUGCACCACUACCAGAUGGACCUGCGUUGUAUUAGCUAGUAGGUGAGGUAACGGCUCACCUAGGCGACGAUACAUAGCCGACCUGAGAGGGUGAUCGGCCACACUGGGACUGAGACACGGCCCAGACUCCUACGGGAGGCAGCAGUAGGGAAUCUUCGGCAAUGGACGAAAGUCUGACCGAGCAACGCCGCGUGAGUGAAGAAGGGUUUCGGAUCGUAAAGCUCUGUUGUAAGAGAAGAACGGGUGUGAGAGUGGAAAGUUCACACUGUGACGGUAGCUUACCAGAAAGGGACGGCUAACUACGUG